rnacentral:SRP_RNA from 2 species
AUUCGGACCCUAUGCAUUGGAUUUUCGUUAAUCGGGUCAGAUGAGGAAUCAAGCAGCCCUACAUGUUAAAGACAAGUGCCGUAGGUGCAUCUGAUAAUC